CCCAAAUUCUAGGAGAGCCCUUGUGAGGAGAAAGUGAAGGUGCCUAUAGCCAGGAUUCUCACCUGGCUCUGGUCAGCUUGCUCACCACACACGUGUGGGCAACACGUUGUUAUUGUCUCCACAGAAAGCUCCGCCCAGUGCUCGGGGCUGCUGUACACCUGCAGGGCUGCGAGGCUGCAGGAGAGCAGAGACGGGAGUGGUGAUGGUGCUGAGGACAGAGACAAAUCUGCAAGGUGGGAGUAAAAUAAUCCCCUGGCUGCUCCUGUCACAGAGUCGUUGUGAGGACCCUUGAGGGAGACGUGAAAGCACUUGAGAGUUUGAGGAAGAAAGAAGGGUCCACGGUAUCCCUGGUUCGUGCUGGUCUCAGCCUGUGGACAGUACCAUCAGGAACACUGCCGACUCAGUUGUGCUGGGCUUCUUACUACAGGAUAAGCAUGAGAAGGCAGGGAAUGGCACCAGUGCACGCAGCGUGACCGGUGUCCUCAGCCAAAACAGCAGCCAGGCUUUGCCGGGAGAGCUCAAGCUGAGAGGGCAGCUGCGGGCCCAGACAGGGAGCCUCGGGGGCCAGCAUCCAUGCCUAUGUGGCCAGCCUGGCUCUGGGUGGGGUCUGCAACUGGGGCCCAGGGCAUGGCCAGCUCUCAGGCAGCCUGAGUCACAUCAGCACCUUGACUGCAGCAGGUAUGGGUGCACAGUGCCAACUGCCUUCCUUUCCCACAGACUCCAGGCUCCUGAAGCCAAGGGGCUGGGGAGGUAAAAAAGCCCCAGUCCCCGAACCUACCUUCCAGCUCUAUGUCCUCCCCCUACCAGCUUCUCCUAGUGCCUCCACCUUCUGUAGGCUGUUACUUAGCCAAGACAUACAGUAUAGGGACAACAGCUGUUACCCAGAAUGGACAUUCUUCCAAACCAGAGGGCAGACAACCCCUACUGGCAGCCCCUCCCCCAAGACAGCCCGUCCUCAGGCCCAGCUUCUCCGGCCUGAAAGCCUGGCCUCCCAGGACCUCCAGCACGGCUUCUGGGCUGCAGUUAGGAGAGAGUUUGGACACCCCCUGCUUUAG